AGUGAACGCUGGCGGUAGGCCUAACACAUGCAAGUCGAACGGCAGCACAGAGGAGCUUGCUCCUUGGGUGGCGAGUGGCGGACGGGUGAGGAAUACAUCGGAAUCUACUCUGUCGUGGGGGAUAACGUAGGGAAACUUACGCUAAUACCGCAUACGACCUACGGGUGAAAGCAGGGGAUCUUCGGACCUUGCGCGAUUGAAUGAGCCGAUGUCGGAUUAGCUAGUUGGCGGGGUAAAGGCCCACCAAGGCGACGAUCCGUAGCUGGUCUGAGAGGAUGAUCAGCCACACUGGAACUGAGACACGGUCCAGACUCCUACGGGAGGCAGCAGUGGGGAAUAUUGGACAAUGGGCGCAAGCCUGAUCCAGCCAUACCGCGUGGGUGAAGAAGGCCUUCGGGUUAUAAAGCCCUUUUGUUGGGAAAGAAAUCCAUCUGGUUAAUACCCGGGUGGGAUGACGGUACCCAAAGAAUAAGCACCGGCUAACUUCGUGCCAGCAGCCGCAGUAAAAC
rnacentral:rRNA from 1 species